rnacentral:pre_miRNA from 1 species
UUUAUACUCCUUCCGUUCGGAAUUACUUGUCACAAAAAUGAAUAAAAUGAAUGUAUCUACAACUAAAAUACAUCUAGAUACAUUCAUUUCUUGGACGAGUAAUUCCGAACGGAUGGAGUACUUU